UGGGUAUUCGUCUCUCUCCCCGCCCCUGAGAGUCUGGGAAAGGCUGACACGUGGUGCCUUCAGGCUCUGGGGCCUAGGACCUUUGUGGUAGCAGAGUCACUGCAGAGAACCAGACAAUACCAGGUUGCUUAUAAAAGGAUGCCAUGUGCUUGCUGGAGGUCCCAGGUGCAACCAAAUUGCUUGCAGCUAGGAGGACCUUGAAGAGAAAUGGGAUCAGCCCGCCAAACCAAGAAGGGUUAGCACUUUUGCUAGGAGAGCUGACCACGCACAAACAGAUGAGAACCAAAACCGAGUGAAGAGGAUUGAAGAUGAACCCACAUUUUAAAAGUUCUUGUCUGCUGGAGGUGGCAUUACCUGUGACCUCGCUUCACUUCUCCAUACAUGGCUGUUAUAGCAGAAAAUCCAGCUUUCUGAAGCAUAUUUCACGACAUAUGAUGAGACUUAUGUGAUGUGAGACCUGAGAAAACUAUGAUAGAAAGAAGCAACUCAAGUUGCAAGGAUAUUCCUCAUGUAUCAUGCAAGGAUAUUCCUCAUAUAUCAUGCUUUUUCUAUCUUCUGCUCUUUGCCACCUGUGAGGUCCCUGAAAAUGAAGGCCAAUACUACCCAGAGACUAAGGUGUCAGUAUGUUCUUCAAGCUGCUCUGCUCCUGGGCCCAAGCUAUUCUCCUGCCUCAGCCUUCCAAGAAGCUGAAACUACAAGAACACAAGACUGUACCUGGCUUGCAAACACCAUUGCUAAUAAGAAGAUAUUACAUGGAUCCCUGAGGUCGGUCCCCAAUACGACAAGACAAUUUGAUAUCAUAAUAGAACACUGCAGAAACAAUGCUGAGUGAAGAAGAGUAGAAAUGGGAAGACUUGGUUGAGCGGAAACUGAGUUCUUGAAAAGAGGAGAUGCUUGAUGAGGGCAUGGAUCCCUGAGGUCUGCCCCAGUACUAUAAGACAAUUUGAUGUAAGAAAACACAGCAGAUAUAAUACUGAGUGAAGAAGAGUAUAAAUGAGAAGAUUGGUUGUGCAGAUACUGAGUUCAUGAAAAGAGGAGAUGAUUGAUGAGGCCAGGUGCGGUGACUCAUGCCUGUAAUCCCUGCACUUUGGGAGGCUGCGGCGGGCGGAUCACCUGAGGUCAGGAGUUCGAGACCAGCCUGGGAGACAGAGCAUGGAAACCUAAGGUCUGUACCCAAAACUACAGGACUAUUUGACAUCAUAAUAAAACACUGCAGAUAUGAUGCUGAGUAAGAGUAGAAAUGGGAAGACUUGGUUGUGCAGUAACUGAGUUCUUGAAAAGAGGAGAUGCUUGAUGAGGGCAUGGAUCACUAAGGUCUGUUCCCAAUACAAGAAGACUCUUUGACAUCAUAAUAAAAUACUGCAGAUACGAUGCUGAGUGAAAAAGAGUAGAAAUGGGAAGACUUGGUUGUGCAGAAACUGAGUUCUUAAAGAGAGGAGAUACUUUAUGAGGUUGCAGGGCUUUGACUCCUGGGUACAUGUAUCUCAUCUGAAAGGGAAUCCUGACGCCUACUGAAUCUUAAUAGUCAAUAUUGAUAUCUGGCAUCAAAUUCAAGUUGACCAAAGUUCCAUCUUCAGACCUGGGAGAAGAUGACAGUCAAAAUGAACUGCUUUCAUGUGACACUGGACCAGGCCUAUAUACAAAGGCAUAAGUCUUUAGAAAAUAACUUAACUCCUCCAAGCAAUUGCCAAACAGAAAACCUUGGCAUCUUCCUAUGACCUGUAAGCACCCACUUUCCCCUGCUUUAAGUUGUCCUACCCUUCUGCACCAAACCAAUGUAUACCUCACAUGUAUUGAUUGAUGUCUUCUGUCUCUCUAAAACAUAGAAAAGAAAGCUGUAACCCAACCACCUUGGUCAGGACGUCUUGAGACUGUGCCUUGCGCCAUGGUCAGUCGUAUUUUGUGCAGAAUAAACAUUUUUCAAUAUUUUACAGAGUUUGGCUUUUUUGUUGACUUUUUUCAUAAAACAUGAAAGAUUAUGUUUGAGAAAGGCGUUUCUCAAGUGACCAUGUGAAGAUGUUGGGAAAUCCUCUCGCCAAAGAACAACUAUGAAAUGGACAAAACCAACCAUUUCUGUGCUCUGGAAAUUAAAUGUGCACAACAAUGUUAAACUUUGGGCAAGAAAGUUUGAACUCUGAUACGGUUUUGAUUUGUGUCACUGCUGAAAUCUCUUGUGCAAUUGUGACCCUCAGUGUUGGAGGAGGGGCCUGGUGGGAAGUGAUUGGAUCAUGGGGGUGGAUUUCCCCCUUGCUGUUCUCAUGUAGUGAGUGAGUUCUCGUGAGAUCUGGUUGUUUAAAAGUGUGUAGCAUCUCCCCCUGCUCUCUUCCUCCUUCUCUGGCCAUGUAAAACCUGCCUGCUUCCCCUUUGCCUUCUACCAUGAUUGUAAGUUUCCUGAGGCCUCCACAGCCAUGCUUCCUGUACAGACUGUGGAAGUGUAAGUCAAUUAAACGUCUUUAGUCUUUAAACCUAUAAAUAUCUUUGUAACAACUUCCUUAGCUACAAUCUAUAAGUUAUUUAUAGAUUACACAGUCUCAGGUAGUUCUUAAUAGCAAUGCAAAAAUGCACUAAUACAAACCCUGUUUUGGUCUGGCCUGUGGCUGCUUCCGUAUUUCUCUUUCCUAGGUCCAUCUAUAGGGACAUUCUGCCAAGGUGAAAUAAAGACUGAUAAAAUUCCUUACUAGCAAACUUGUAUUACAAGAAAUAACUAAAAACAGUCCUUCAGUCUAAAAGGAAAUGACUCUAUAUGGUGACUUGAAUCCACAAGAAUAAAUGAAGGGCACAGGAAAUGGUAAAUAGCUGGGUUAAUAUAAAAAAGACUCUAUGUAUUGUUUUUUCAUUUUUUCUAUAUUAUCUAAAUGACCUAAGAUUAUGUGAAGUAAUAAUUAUUACAUUGUACUGUUGGUUUUAAAAUAUAUAACUGUAAUUUAUAUGAUAACAGACCAAUGUUGGAGGGGUUUGGAAAUAAAUAUGAGCAAAGUUUCUAUGUUUUACUUGAAGUAAGUUAGUAUUAAGCUGAUGUAUAUUCUGAUAGGUUAAAAUGUAUAUUGUAACCCUUAGAACAACUAUUAAAAUAAAUCAAAAGC
rnacentral:lncRNA from 1 species